rnacentral:rRNA from 1 species
UACGUAGGGUGCAAGCGUUGUCCGGAAUUAUUGGGCGUAAAGAGCUCGUAGGCGGUUUGUCGCGUCUGCUGUGAAAACCGGAGGCUCAACCUCCGGCCUGCAGUGGGUACGGGCAAACUAGAGUGCGGUAGGGGAGAUUGGAAUUCCUGGUGUAGCGGUGGAAUGCGCAGAUAUCAGGAGGAACACCGAUGGCGAAGGCAGGUCACUGGGCCGCAACUGACGCUGAGGAGCGAAAGCAUGGGGAGCGAACAGG